UGCUAUAGUGACAGCUUAAAUACCUUAAAGGCACCAGAUCCCAUCUGAUCUUGGAAGCUAAGCAGGUUGAGCUCUGGUUAGUAUUUGGAUGAGAGACUGCCAGUGAAAGACAAGAACUAUCAGAA
rnacentral:rRNA from 1 species